CAGCAGUCGCCGCGGUAAUACGGAGGGUGCAAGCGUUAAUCGGAAUUACUGGGCGUAAAGCGCACGCAGGCGGUCUGUCAAGUCAGAUGUGAAAUCCCCGGGCUUAACCUGGGAACUGCAUUUGAAACUGGCAGGCUAGAGUCUUGUAGAGGGGGGUAGAAUUCCAGGUGUAGCGGUGAAAUGCGUAGAGAUCUGGAGGAAUACCGGUGGCGAAGGCGGCCCCCUGGACAAAGACUGACGCUCAGGUGCGAAAGCGUGGGGAGCAAACAGGAUUAGAUACCCCGGUAGUCCCUGUCUCUUAUAC
rnacentral:rRNA from 1 species